GGGCAAGUGGAGGAAUGGUAUACUCGAAGGUCUUAAAAACCUUUGACCGUAAGGUCGUGAGGGUUCAACUCCCUCCUUGCCCACUA
rnacentral:tRNA from 1 species